AUGAGUGAAAGCCUUUGCCCGAUCAUGUCGUGGAAUGUCCGCGGCCUAAACCAGCCGGCAAAACGGGUGGCAGUCUGCGAGGUAGUCACCGCCAGUAAAGUAGCGAUCAUGUGCCUGCAAGAAACCAAGAUCGGCGUCUGGACCUCAGCCAUCGUCAGAGAAAUUGGGGGUGCGACUCUGCCCGAAUGCAUUGUUCUCCCUACAAUCGGCUCCCGCGGCGGAGCAGCCAUCUUCUGGAACAGUGACCUGGCCACCAUUGCCUCCCAUGCUGUAGGCGAAUUCGCGAUCACUGCGCAGGCGACGCUACUCCAGCAAUCCUCGAGCUUCUGGCUAACGGCUGUUUAUGGACCAACCGAAGACAAUAGAAAAUCUGCCUUCCUCAACGAAUUAGCUAGAACGGCACCCCCUCCUGGUGAUCCAUGGCUCAUCAACGUCGAUUUUAACCUCAUCUACGAGGCGAGAGACAAAAACAACCACCACCUCAACCGCAGGCUCAUGGGCAUCUUCAGACGGGCCAUUGACAACGCCGGCCUAAAGGAAAUCAAAUGCAAGAACCGCCGAUACACCUGGAGCAACGAGCGCGAGAACCCGACCCUCGUUAGCAUUGACAAGUUUUUCUGCACUAGUAGUUGGGAUGAUCUCUUCCCCUCAAGUGUGCUGAUGGCAGCAUCUACAGCACUGUCAGAUCACUGCCCGCUUCUCCUGGCCGACGCUGCCGCCCCGCGCCGCCGUGCAAAAUUCAAAUUCGAGAGUUUCCGGUCGCUCUUCCCGCGCUUCUAG
rnacentral:rRNA from 1 species